CAGUCGAACGAACUUCCGUUAUUGAUUAUGACGUACUUGUACUGAUUGAGAUUUUAACACGAAGUGAGUGGCGAACGGGUGAGUAACACGUGGGUAACCUGCCCAGAAGUAGGGGAUAACACCUGGAAACAGAUGCUAAUACCGUAUAACAGAGAAAACCGCAUGGUUUUCUUUUAAAAGAUGGCUCUGCUAUCACUUCUGGAUGGACCCGCGGCGUAUUAGCUAGUUGGUGAGGUAAAGGCUCACCAAGGCAGUGAUACGUAGCCGACCUGAGAGGGUAAUCGGCCACAUUGGGACUGAGACACGGCCCAGACUCCUACGGGAGGCAGCAGUAGGGAAUCUUCCACAAUGGACGCAAGUCUGAUGGAGCAACGCCGCGUGAGUGAAGAAGGGUUUCGGCUCGUAAAGCUCUGUUGUUAAAGAAGAACGUGGGUAAGAGUAACUGUUUACCCAGUGACGGUAUUUAACCAGAAAGCCACGGCUAACUACGUGCCAGCAGCCGCGGUAAUACGUAGGUGGCAAGCGUUAUCCGGAUUUAUUGGGCGUAAAGCGAGCGCAGGCGGUCUUUUAAGUCUAAUGUGAAAGCCUUCGGCUCAACCGAAGAAGUGCAUUGGAAACUGGGAGACUUGAGUGCAGAAGAGGACAGUGGAACUCCAUGUGUAGCGGUGAAAUGCGUAGAUAUAUGGAAGAACACCAGUGGCGAAGGCGGCUGUCUGGUCUGCAACUGACGCUGAGGCUCGAAAGCAUGGGUAGCGAACAGGAUUAGAUACCCUGGUAGUCCAUGCCGUAAACGAUGAUUACUAAGUGUUGGAGGGUUUCCGCCCUUCAGUGCUGCAGCUAACGCAUUAAGUAAUCCGCCUGGGGAGUACGACCGCAAGGUUGAAACUCAAAAGAAUUGACGGGGGCCCGCACAAGCGGUGGAGCAUGUGGUUUAAUUCGAAGCUACGCGAAGAACCUUACCAGGUCUUGACAUCUUCUGACAGUCUAAGAGAUUAGAGGUUCCCUUCGGGGACAGAAUGACAGGUGGUGCAUGGUUGUCGUCAGCUCGUGUCGUGAGAUGUUGGGUUAAGUCCCGCAACGAGCGCAACCCUUAUUACUAGUUGCCAGCAUUAAGUUGGGCACUCUAGUGAGACUGCCGGUGACAAACCGGAGGAAGGUGGGGACGACGUCAAAUCAUCAUGCCCCUUAUGACCUGGGCUACACACGUGCUACAAUGGAUGGUACAACGAGUCGCGAGACCGCGAGGUUAAGCUAAUCUCUUAAAACCAUUCUCAGUUCGGACUGUAGGCUGCAACUCGCCUACACGAAGUCGGAAUCGCUAGUAAUCGCGGAUCAGCAUGCCGCGGUGAAUACGUUCCCGGGCCUUGUACACACCGCCCGUCACACCAUGAGAGUUUGUAACACCCAAAGCCGGUGGGG
rnacentral:rRNA from 1 species